rnacentral:rRNA from 1 species
CCUACGGGAGGCAGCAGUGGGGAAUAUUGCACAAUGGGGGAAACCCUGAUGCAGCGACGCCGCGUGAGUGAAGAAGUAUUUCGGUAUGUAAAGCUCUAUCAGCAGGAACGAGACAAGACGGUACCUGACUAAGAAGCCCCGGCUAACUACGUGCCAGCAGCCGCGGUAAUACGGAGGAUGCGAGCGUUAUCCGGAUUUAUUGGGUUUAAAGGGUGCGUAGGCGGGCUUUUAAGUCAGCGGUAAGAAUUAGGGGAUAAACCCCGUCCGGCCGUUGAAACUGGGGGCCUUGAGUGGGCGAGAAGAAGGCGGAAUGCGUGGUGUAGCGGUGAAAUGCAUAGAUAUCACGCAGAACCCCGAUUGCGAAGGCAGCCUUCCGGCGCCCUACUGACGCUGAGACACGAAAGUGCGGGGAUCGAACAGGAUUAGAUACCCCAGUAGUC